rnacentral:lncRNA from 1 species
UAAAAUUGUAUAGAGGCAAAAUGUUUGAAUCUUUAUUCUUUUGGAAAGGAAGAAAGAAUCACAAAGUUGUUGAAAGAAGCACAAAGUUGUUGAAAGAAUCACAAAGUUGUUGAGGUUAAUUCACUUAGAUAUUAGUGGCACUUGUCCACAACAUAAUACUACUCAUGUUGUAUGACAUUCACCAAAGAUCGCUCUCGGUUGGACUAUCGUUUAUUUUAAAUAAACACAAAUCCGAAUACUUUGCAAAAGGUUUCAAAGAAUUCAAGAAUGUAAGUUGAUGAGUAAGACGUCUAAAGUAUUUACCUCCUUAGAUUUGAUCCAAGGAAAGGUAACACUUUGGAACAGUUUCCUUGAAAGAUAUCAAGGAAAGAAGCAUCAUUAGAUAAUGGAUUUCUCCAUUAGGAGAAGAAUGAACUUGAAUAAGAUUUAGUUUGUUGGAUGUUAUCAAUUACCCAUAUAUAGGAUAUAUACUUCUAAGACAAUAUGAUUGUCAAUUAGAAGAUCUUCCAAAAUUUUCAUGACUCCUUAGGAUGUAGUUGGAAAGAAAGAUAAGUCUUAAUCGUGUUAAGAUUUGGGGUUGUGUGCUAAUAAGCAAUAUUUGUUUGAGAAUUAUCUUGUGGAUAUCCUUAAAUUAAACUUUGGAUAUCACUUCUAUAAACCAACUAACAAAUGUUGUUUUGUUUGGUAGUUCAUUGUAAUCCUACAAUAUGAGUUGCCUAAGUGCAAAUGAACGAGAGAUAGAACUCAAAGAAUGGGUUCUUUGAGAGACAAGAUGAUAAUCAACAAAUAUAACAACCUAGUUCCUACAUCACAAGCUCCAAGGUAGUCGAGAAGGAUAUAUAAACUAUCUCAGUUGAAUGGUUUGAACUUUAUGACUAUGUCAUAGAGUUACACCUCUUAAUUCGAAAGAAAUAAGAAUGAAAAUCCUUAUGACUACAUUGAGUGUAUAUACGACAUAUACUCAAGGAAAUGGUAAAGUACCAUUUGACCCGAAAUAAUGAAACCUUCAUAGCUAAUUGGUAGCUUAAAGUGACUACAAUCAAAGAGAAUGGUUGACUUGGAAGAAACCAUCUUUGACAUAGUCUUGGUUUCAAUUAAUUCAAAGAUUGCUAGCUACAACUAAAUGUUGAUUCAAUGUUUGGACAUAAUAUGGGUUUCCGAAACCAUUAUUAAGAUAGUCUUGAUAAUAUAUGUCUAAAACUAUGAAUCACAAGACAUGUAAGUUGUAGAGAUCCAUCCAUCAUGAAUCUUAGCAAGCUAGUGGGAGCUAUAAGCGUCUUAUGAGAGAAAGAUCAAAUCGUUUGAUUUCUCAUAAAGAUGUAAAUGAAUCUUUUGUUUACUAGGUUUACAAAAGAUUAGUGGGAGUUAAUCAUGUUCCUAAAUUUGAAUAUAUAUAUAUAUAUAUGUACAUAUAUGAUAUAUUAAUUUUGGAAAUGAAAAGAAUACUUCUUCGUUAAAGUUAUGACUUUAAACAUUCUAUAACAAUAGAAUGUAUAUGGGAGACAUAGUCUGUAAAAAUGGGAUGGAAAUCUAUAAUGAUAGAUUUCAGGAUAUAAUUGGAUUAUAUCAAGCCCUAAUGAUAGACAAAAGAUGCUAGGAAGUUUCUCAUAUGAUGAUAAACUUCAAUCAGAAGGACAACUCUAGUGAGACUAGGAAGUUGCUCUUCUCAAAGGGAACGUACCCUUUUGACUCCUAAAGAAACAUAAUGCAUAAAUAGAAUCCUUUAUGCAUACGCAGAAAGGUGACUUACGUAUUUCAUAUUGUAUGAAAAACAUUGAUAUGAGUUGUACCAAGAUCGGUACAAGACGAUAUCAAUGCAAGCCCAGGAUCAGAACCAUGGCAACUGUCAAGUGAAUCCUUAAGUAUUUGAGAAAUAAUAAAGGAUGGAUUCCUCAAGAAUGAGGAAGAAUUAGAGUAACGUAAUGGAAGAGUAAAUGUAUUAGAUUAUGAAUCUAAUCGAUCAUUGGAUGUUUAUUCAUUAUGAAUGAAGAGAUAAUCAGAUAUCUCUUUAUUAUGACUAAAGAGAUAUUUGGAUGGAAACAUUAAAAGUAAUGACUUUAGUGUGUUCCAUUGUGAAUGCAAAAAUAUUGCCAUAUAGAAGCUUACAACAAUGUUUUUUGGAUGAGAAAGUUCAUUCAUGAACUCUCUAUUCGGUUCCAACCAGAAAGUGUCUCUAGUGUACCGACACUAUGACACUAAUGGGGCGAUAGCUCAAGCCAAGGAAUCAAGGUCUCAUCAUGAUCCGAAGUCAAAUGAGAGACUAAACCACAUGAUUAAGAAUCAUGUAUAAUGGUGACGUCGUUAUUCUCAAGGUUGCUUCUAUGGAUAACAUAUAGAUAUCCAUUGUCUAGGCCUACUACUCAACCAUUUUUGAAAUGACUACAGAAGAGGUAUCAUCAUUGAUGACCAAGCUGAUUGGCUCUAGUGCAAGUAGGAGAUUGUUGGAAAUGUGCCCUAAAACCAAUCAUAGGAUGAUACUUUACGGACAUUUCACAUGUCAAACUAAUAUAGUUUAAUUUAAAGGGCAAAGAUUAUUGUUUGAAGCCAUCUCAUAUAAAUGUUAUACGCUUAAACGAUAAGUCCAAGGAAUAUGUAAUUAGGAGAAUGCGAUCUAAAGAAGUUAGAUUCAUGAGACCAUUCUCUUCCGCAUACGUAUCCUAAACGUUCCUGAUCAUAGGAGUGCCAAUUGGGCAUUGACAGUCCGUUAAGAUCAGUACGUGUUAUGUCUUCUCUUAGGGAGAGUGACUGGUCUCGAGUCAUUGGUGUGACUGACACCAAGACAAGCAUGUAGGUGCUCAAUAGAGAAUAAGUCUACUGAACACGAUCAUCAAGGAGUUCUCAUACUCAUAUCACAUGAGAACUCAGGGUUGGGAUAAUGCAAAGUAGUCCUUUGACCUGAGGCAUCAUAGUUGUCUUGUGGUUAGGUCCUUGAUCUUUGACUAUGUCAAAGUCACUCCGUCAAAGGGUGUCCACGGCAUAGUUGGGGUUAAGCCACUUAGCCAUGGAGGCAAGUGAAUGCGCAACAAGGGAUCUUUAACCUUUAAGUUGUUUGAGGGAGAAUACUCUAUGAUAUGAUUAAGAAUCUCUGGCCAGAAGUAUGAAUAAGAUUUAGUAAGUCGUUCCAAAUCACAUUCAAGGUAAUCAUAUAAGUAAAAGAAUCACAUUGGAUAGUAGACAUGAAUAAACUAUUAAAUCAAACAAUGUGGUCAAGAGUAUUGUAUUAGAGAAAUACCGUAUUGCAUUGUAAUCCUAAACUAAAUAGGUUCUCCACCUCUUUUGAUUAGUUUGGGUAACCAUGACAUACUGCUAGGUGUCACUCAUGGUUUGUGAAGCCCUAAACGUGUAUAAUCACUAAAGGGAGAAUUGAAAGUAAGUUUCAAUUCACAAUCGAUUUGAAAGAGUUCUAAUCGCCCACUGCCUCGCUAAAAGGAUCUAAAAGGAACCUAAUGGAUCGUACACCAUGUAAGGUAGAGAUUGAAGAAACAACGGAGAUGAGUACGGAUAAUUAAAUGGUUUAAUUGUUUAUGGCAAGAAUUAAUUAAUGUGUUAAUUAAUUAAACGAAUACGUUCGUUUUAAACCUUGAGUUUGUUUUGGGCCUUAAAGCCCAAAUUGGGCUUCGAAUCGUCAAACCCAUUAGCUUAAGUUGUAUGACAACUUAACAAACAAAAUUCAAGAAGCCCAAAACAGCCCAAAGAAUUGGGAAAACCGGCCAUAAAGAGAGGGGUAGUGAACUUGGCUUAAUUGCAAGUUUGCCACUCCAUUGUGAGGUGGUAUAAAGG